rnacentral:rRNA from 1 species
GGGACAUGGGCGGCAUGCCUAACACAUGCAAGUCGAACGAGACCUUCGGGUCUAGUGGCGCACGGGUGCGUAACGCGUGGGAAUCUGCCCUUAGGUUCGGAAUAACAGUUGGAAACGACUGCUAAUACCGGAUGAUGACGUAAGUCCAAAGAUUUAUCGCCUAAGGAUGAGCCCGCGUAGGAUUAGCUAGUUGGUGUGGUAAGAGCGCACCAAGGCGACGAUCCUUAGCUGGUCUGAGAGGAUGAUCAGCCACACUGGGACUGAGACACGGCCCAGACUCCUACGGGAGGCAGCAGUGGGGAAUAUUGGACAAUGGGCGAAAGCCUGAUCCAGCAAUGCCGCGUGAGUGAUGAAGGCCUUAGGGUUGUAAAGCUCUUUUACCCGGGAUGAUAAUGACAGUACCGGGAGAAUAAGCUCCGGCUAACUCCGUGCCAGCAGCCGCGGUAAUACGGAGGGAGCUAGCGUUGUUCGGAAUUACUGGGCGUAAAGCGCACGUAGGCGGCUUUGUAAGUUAGAGGUGAAAGCCUGGAGCUCAACUCCAGAAUUGCCUUUAAGACUGCAUCGCUUGAAUCCAGGAGAGGUGAGUGGAAUUCCGAGUGUAGAGGUGAAAUUCGUAGAUAUUCUUAACAACCUCUUUCGUCAAGG